AUUGCUGUCGGCAUUUCAAAGUUCACCUUUAGUUUUAUAAUUAAAACAGGUAAUGGUAAGAAUGCAGAGAUAAGAAAAUCAGUGGAAGAGUGGAACAAAGAAUGGUAUAGUAAGGAGUUUAAAGUUCUCAGUUGGAUGGACAAGACAAGCCUGUAUUGCCUGUCUCUGUCCCUAGACUCCCAUCCAAUAGUAGCUCCUUCUAGUUUCCCAGCUAAUAGUGGAUUGGACGUUCCUAGCCUCUAAGCUAACAGUAGCUCUAACUAGUCAUAGUAACUACUACUCAAUCAUAAAUGCACAUGACAGUGGGUCAUGGCCAGAGCUGCACAAUGAGUCAUUAAUGGACUUAAAAUGUAUUUUUUAAUUAGUGGCAGAGAGAGAGUGGAGUUGUUCAACCGCUGAUACCUCAAUGGCAGUGAUGCCUCCAUCUAAUUACAAAUUGCCAUGUACACAAACAUAGAGCAGGGGGACGGGUUAUUAUUAACUACAGCCUAUGGCCCUGGUGUUCAGGGGGUCCUAAUCAUGAAUGGAUUAUAAUGUAUAAUGUUAGACAGACAUUCAUGGUUACUAGAUAAUGAAUCCUUCGGACUUUGGUGAUAUGUUACUUUUAUUUGGCGCCACCAUUCUGGUUGACAUUUAUGAUUUUGACUCCGCUUCCGCUCACCACACACUCACUCAGCUAGAGUACUAGCUUUGGAUUGUUCGGGAUCCAAACUGAACUUUUUUAAUUGUUUUACUUUUUAACUGCUUUACUGGUUCCUUUCAUCCAAUCUUUCUGUGACUUUUUAAAAAAAUCAAAUCAACAUACACUUGUUUUUGUCGUUUGCUGGGCUACCACCCGACCUAGUCUGCAGUAGCCCCAGUGGCUACGCUAACAAGUAUUGCUAGUCAUGGCCGCAAAUGAGGACGUAGUCUACUACUGAGAAAAGCAAAUAAAAAAAUCCGACCUUAAGGAAGAUAUCCGCAUGCUCUCUGAUGAACUAAAGAAGAAGGACUUGAUGUUGUCCAGCUUCAUGGGGUGGCGGACGGACAGUCCAAACAGCUCCGACGCUGCGGCCACGGGGAAUCCCCUUUCGAGAACCCAACAUCUUGGGCUUGUUGUCUCACCGCACAACCCAGUUCAUUGUGAUCUUUGUUUGAGGACCAAUCCUGUGGAAGAGAGGGAUUUGCAACCUUUUCCAGCCUAAUGAUCAACAACUGUUUUUCUGGGCUCCUCAGGAAGGUCCUUUGUCCAUGCCGUCAUAUACUUCCACAAACACAUGGUGUGAAAAUCAGACUGAUUAGAAUUACAACUUACUGAUAUGUAGUAUUGGCUCAUUUCCCGAAUAAAUAAAAGCCCAAGUGUAAUGUUUCUGU